CUGUAUUUCUAAGUGUAAUAUGGAACUGUUUUACCUGUUUUAAAAUAAUUUAAAUAGUGUCAUAGCUGGGUUAAGGAGUGCAAUAUUAAAACAAAAGCCACGAGUCUUUUAAGCCCAGUGUGUAAAGACACAAAGUCAUAACUCAGUGGUACAACU